rnacentral:snRNA from 1 species
CUAGAUUGAGAUUUCUCAUGAUA